GAUAAACGCUGGCGGCGUGCCUAACACAUGCAAGUCGAACGGGAUUAAUUUGAAAGCUUGCUGGAUAAUUAAUCUAGUGGCGGAUGGGUGAGUAACGCGUGAGAACGUGUCCCAGACAGGGGGACAACAGCUGGAAACGGCUGCUAAUACCCCAUAAGCCGGGAGGUAAAAGGAGCAAUCCGGUUUGGGAGCGGCUCGCGUCCUAUCAGCUAGUAGGUGAGGUAAUGGCUCACCUAGGCGAAGACGGGUAGCCGGACUGAGAGGUUGUACGGCCACAUUGGAACUGAGAACGGUCCAGACUCCUACGGGAGGCAGCAGUGGGGAAUAUUGGGCAAUGGAGGAAACUCUGACCCAGCGACGUCGCGUGAGUGAAGAAAUCCCUCGGGAUGUAAAGCUCUGUUGUACGGGAAGAUGAGAAAGACGGUACCGUACGAGGAAGCCCCGGCAAACUACGUG
rnacentral:rRNA from 1 species